AGUGAACGCUGGCGGCAGGCCUAACACAUGCAAGUCGAGCGGCAGCGCGGGGCAACCUGGCGGCGAGCGGCGGACGGGUGAGGAAUUCGUCGGAAUCUGCCUUUUUGUGGGGGAUAACGUAGGGAAACUUACGCUAAUACCGCAUACGACCUACGGGUGAAAGUGGGGGACCGCAAGGCCUCACGCAGAAAGAUGAGCCGACGACCGAUUAGCUAGUUGGUGAGGUAAUGGCUCACCUAGGCGACGAUCCGUAACUGGUCUGAGAGGAUGAUCAGUCACACUGGAACUGAGACACGGUCCAGACUCCUACGGGAGGCAGCAGUGGGGAAUAUUGGACAAUGGGCGAAAGCCUGAUCCAGCCAGGCCGCGUGUGUGAAGAAGGUCUUCGGAUUGUAAAGCACUUUAAGUUGGGAGGAAGGGUAUUCACCUAAUACGUGGGUACUUUGACGUUACCAACAGAAUAAGCACCGGCUAACUCUGUGCCAGCCGCCGCCGUAACAC
rnacentral:rRNA from 1 species